GUUCAGCUGACUUGGAGCACAAGCUCCUAUUGAUCUGGUUCUACUUCUCCAGCUGGAUCUUUGUGCCUACUGAACUAUUUUUUUGUUCAUCUAAGCCAGCCUUCCCUACUUGAUUCUCUCCAGAUAUGUUGGACUGUAACUCACAUUACUCCCAGAUGCCUAUGGAAGACAUCAGGAUAUUUAGCACUGCCUUUGUUAAGCUGGGAAGCCAUAGAUGAAAAGAAGGAUGGCAUAGCCUAUGAAGAUAAGACGGCUUUCAUACCACCCGACAGUGUCCAGAACCUGCCUUCCCUGGAGCUGCUAAACUCAGGAUGCUGCACUGCAUUACGACUUUCUGGUAACAGAAUAGCUGCUGGCAACUAAUCUCUGAGAAAUACUUCAUCCUGUCAGUUCUUUGGAGCCAGAAGCCAUUUUCUGCUGUUGCCACUCACACUGAACUUUUAAAGGUCAUCCUGCCAUGAGGGAUGCUGACUCGUUUUAUCCUCAUUCAGGAAACUGUUCCACCUUGUCAUGUGAUUACUUUGAAGGGCUGUAGGGGUCUGUUUAUUCCCGUUCAUAGUUGCUGCAAAACAGCACUGUUUUAUUAGGGGUUGGCUUUGUGCAUUUCACGCUACAGUGACUCCCUCUCCAAGGCUGUCUGUUAUUUUAAUUCCCAAGGCUAGUGAGAUAGAAUUGUAACAAGUGCUGCUGUUUUGCUUUUAUUGUUUGGUUCCUGUGCAGAUAAUGGUAACUUAUUUAACUAUAUGAACUGAUGGGAGUGAUAAUCCAAUAUACUGGCUUAUAAAAAUAAUCAAAAUGCUCCCACACAAACAAUAAAACAAAAUCUACCAGGUCCAGCUGUACAAGCCACCAUGCAUUGAUAUGGAGUUACCAAUGGCAGAUGUACUUUAGGAAACAUGGAUUAUUUGUGGCAGAAAUGCAGAACCUGUGGAUUUCAAGAUGUUGCUGAGUGACAGCAUUCAGUAAUCUCAGCAAGUAUGACUAAUGGUGGAAGAUGCUGGAUGUUGUAGUUCAACACCACUGGAAGGCUACAAUGGUGAUAUACAGCAUUUUAUCAUGCAAUUCAUGGCCUAUUCUGCUUCCUUGUGUUCAGGGGUUAAUACGUUUGCUCUCAUAUGAGCAAGGCAUGUAUAGCCAUGGGAACAUGAAUUGCAUUCAUACUUAGAAUGUAUAAAUGGCAAAUGCAACAUUUUCUCAUGUUUAUUAUUAAAUUUGUCCUUGUCAAAUAACAUUGAAUAGACAAUCAAGAAGAGUGAAUAUUGAAAAAGGUUGGACCACAAUUUAAGUCUGUGAAUGAAUAUGAAUCAUAUAUGAAUUUAGAUAUU